rnacentral:pre_miRNA from 1 species
AGGAGGAACAGCCCCAGUGGCGGGCCAGCUCUGGAAACCUGGAUUCAGCUCCGGCAGGAACUCCGUCUGCAGGGCCUGGAGGCUCUGGGGCGGG